GACGUACUCCCUCCGUCCGGAAAUACUUGUCCUAGAAAUGGAUAAAAUGGAUGUAUCUAUAACUAAAAUAAGUUUAGAUACAACCAUUUCGAGGACAAGUAUUUCCGGACGGAGGGAGUAGCAA
rnacentral:pre_miRNA from 1 species